GCCUUGCCACGCCCGCUCAGAAACUACAAAGGAAUUGACGGGACCCCGCACAAGCGGUGGAUCAUGUUGUUUAAUUCGAUGAUACGCGAAGAACCUUACCAGGUCUUGACAUCCCCCGCGAUGCUUUAGAGAUAAAGCGGAGGUAUUCGGGGAGACAGGUGGUGCAUGGUUGUCGUCAGCUCGUGUCGUGAGAUGUUGGGUUAAGUCCCGCAACGAGCGCAACCCCUAUUGCUAGUUACCAUCAUUAAGUUGGGGACUCUAGCGAGACUGCCAGUGAUAAACUGGAGGAAGGUGGGGAUGACGUCAAAUCAUCAUGCCCCUUAUGACCUGGGCUACAAACGUGAUACAAUGGCUGGAACAAAGGGAUGCGAAGCAGUGAUGUGGAGCGAAACCCAUAAAAACAGUCUCAGUUCGGAUUGAAGUCUGCAACUCGACUUCAUGAAGUCGGAAUCGCUAGUAAUCGCGGAUCAGAACGCCGCGGUGAAUACGUUCUCGGGGUUU
rnacentral:rRNA from 1 species